GCGGGACCUUUAGCCUGUCACUGCUCAGUCUUCUGGAUUCAGUCCCUUUUUCCAGGGGUACGUAUGGGGGUCUACGUACCCCUUUGCCAGAGUUGCAGCUGCUUUUGCCAAGAAGCCUGGGUGUCUAAGUUUCUUGGGGCUCUGCAUGUGCCUGAGUGGCUGCUCUGCUGAGACUCCACAUAAUUCUGUGUGUCAGACUGAAGACCCUUGUGGAGUGAGUUCAUGAAGUGACCUCAGAGUGACCUUGGAAGCUACAUGCUGAAAUGCUGAAGAUGGCAGAGGUUCAGUGAGACAGGAUCCUUGAAGAUUUAAUAAAGCAGAGCCCUACCUGCCAAGACUUCUCUUUUGCAGAACCCAUUACGUGUUUGGGCCUAUUUGUUAUUGUAGCCUAGCCUGAAAUAAUUAAUACUAAUAAUAAAUAAAUGACUUCUAA
rnacentral:lncRNA from 10 species